rnacentral:rRNA from 1 species
UACGUAGGGUGCAGGCGUUAAUCGGAAUUACUGGGCGUAAAGCGUGCGCAGGCGGUUUGCUAAGACAGGUGUGAAAUCCCCGGGCUUAACCUGGGAAUGGCAUUUGGGACUGCAAGGCUGGAGUGUGGCAGAGGAGACUGGAAUUCCUGGUGUAGCAGUGAAAUGCGUAGAUAUCAGGAGGAAUACCGAUGGCGAAGGCAGGUCUCUGGGCUGACACUGACGCUCAUGCACGAAAGCGUGGGGAGCAAACAGG